rnacentral:SRP_RNA from 1 species
CCGUGCUAGACGGGGAGGUAGCGGUGCCCUGUAACCUGCAACCCGCUAGAGCAGGGUUGAAUUCCGGUGGGCGGCGGCUUUUCGUGACACCGGCUAUGACAAGUGGUGUUGAAGAUCAGGUCCUGCGCAACGGAGACCAGUGAACCCCGCCAGGUCCGGGAGGAAGCAACGGUAAGCUGGCCCCUUCGUGUGCCGCGGGGCAACCUGAUUGGAGCUAACGAUCAUAGUACGAUCGGGAAGAGUUCGUCAAAAGCCGGUGCACGG